AAGGGAGCUUGCUCCCGGAUGUUAGCGGCGGACGGGUGAGUAACACGUGGGUAACCUGCCUGUAAGACUGGGAUAACUCCGGGAAACCGGAGCUAAUACCGGAUAGUUCCUUGAACCGCAUGGUUCAAGGAUGAAAGACGGUUUCGGCUGUCACUUACAGAUGGACCCGCGGCGCAUUAGCUAGUUGGUGAGGUAACGGCUCACCAAGGCGACGAUGCGUAGCCGACCUGAGAGGGUGAUCGGCCACACUGGGACUGAGACACGGCCCAGACUCCUACGGGAGGCAGCAGUAGGGAAUCUUCCGCAAUGGACGAAAGUCUGACGGAGCAACGCCGCGUGAGUGAUGAAGGUUUUCGGAUCGUAAAGCUCUGUUGUUAGGGAAGAACAAGUGCAAGAGUAACUGCUUGCACCUUGACGGUACCUAACCAGAAAGCCACGGCUAACUACGUGCCAGCAGCCGCGGUAAUACGUAGGUGGCAAGCGUUGUCCGGAAUUAUUGGGCGUAAAGGGCUCGCAGGCGGUUUCUUAAGUCUGAUGUGAAAGCCCCCGGCUCAACCGGGGAGGGUCAUUGGAAACUGGGAAACUUGAGUGCAGAAGAGGAGAGUGGAAUUCCACGUGUAGCGGUGAAAUGCGUAGAGAUGUGGAGGAACACCAGUGGCGAAGGCGACUCUCUGGUCUGUAACUGACGCUGAGGAGCGAAAGCGUGGGGAGCGAACAGGAUUAGAUACCGUGGGUAGUCCACGCCGUAAACGAUGAGUGCUAAGUGUUAGGGGGGAUUUCCGCCCCUUAGUGCUGCAGCUAA
rnacentral:rRNA from 1 species